rnacentral:rRNA from 1 species
AUGGCCAAGAAUGUGGAAUUGGAUGGUGAUUCAAGGGUAUCUGAGGAUGCUGAAGAUCUUGAUUGUAAAAUCUCAGAGACUUGGGAAGGUGGGCCACUUCUUUCUGUUGAUGGGAAGGUUGUUGGCAUGAACCUUUUUCUGACUACUAGAAGAGCCGUUUUCCUACCAUGGGGCACAAUUCUCAAGCAUCUGGAGGAUUACUGGAUAUCUCAGCAAAAGAAGACUGGUCUUGCACGGCCAAAAACUUCAGAGGUUUACAGCAGUACAUGGAGAUUUACUCAACCAGGAGCAGUUAGAUCUAGACUCCAUGGGUUACCCUAA